GGGGCCGACCUGGAUUCGACGCCGGUACUGAAUUCUGUGGUGCAUGCCGAGAAGGUCACGAGUCUCGUAAAACAUUUGUGGCACACUAAAGUAAUCGCAAACGACGAUUCUUACGCACUAGCAGCUUAAACCCUGCUUAUCGCCAAUCGACCCUGCCUGUGGGGAAGAGCGGCGAGCAUCGCAACACAGGCUCGCAGCAAAGUCCGCCCCGGAUGGCG
rnacentral:tmRNA from 1 species